rnacentral:rRNA from 1 species
GACGAACGCUGGCGGCGUGCUUAACACAUGCAAGUCGAACGGAAAGGCCCUGCUUUUGUGGGGUGCUCGAGUGGCGAACGGGUGAGUAACACGUGAGUAACCUGCCCUUGACUUUGGGAUAACUUCAGGAAACUGGGGCUAAUACCGGAUAGGAGCUCCUGCUGCAUGGUGGGGGUUGGAAAGUUUCGGCGGUUGGGGAUGGACUCGCGGCUUAUCAGCUUGUUGGUGGGGUAGUGGCUUACCAAGGCUUUGACGGGUAGCCGGCCUGAGAGGGUGACCGGCCACAUUGGGACUGAGGUACGGCCCAGACUCCUACGGGAGGCAGCAGUGGGGAAUAUUGCACAAUGGGCGGAAGCCUGAUGCAGCGACGCCGCGUGCGGGAUGACGGCCUUCGGGUUGUAAACCGCUUUCGCCUGUGACGAAGCGUGAGUGACGGUAAUGGGUAAGGAAGCGCCGGCUAACUACGUG